AAAUUGAAGAGUUUGAUCAUGGCUCAGAUUGAACGCUGGCGGCAGGCCUAACACAUGCAAGUCGAGCGGUAGCACAGAGAGCUUGCUCUCGGGUGACGAGCGGCGGACGGGUGAGUAAUGUCUGGGAAACUGCCUGAUGGAGGGGAUAACUACUGGAAACGGUAGCUAAUACCGCAUAACGUCGCAAGACCAAAGUGGGGACCUUCGGGCCUCAUGCCAUCAGAUGUGCCCAGAUGGGAUUAGCUAGUAGGUGGGGUAACGGCUCACCUAGGCGACGAUCCUAGCUGGUCUGAGAGGAUGACCAGCCACACUGGAACUGAGACACGGUCCAGACUCCUACGGGAGGCAGCAGUGGGGAAUAUUGCACAAUGGGCGCAAGCCUGAUGCAGCCAUGCCGCGUGUGUGAAGAAGGCCUUCGGGUUGUAAAGCACUUUCAGCGGGGAGGAAGGCGUUAAGGUUAAUAACCUCAUCGAUUGACGUUACCCGCAGAAGAAGCACCGGCUAACUCCGUGCCAGCAGCCGCGGUAAUACGGAGGGUGCAAGCGUUAAUCGGAAUUACUGGGCGUAAAGCGCACGCAGGCGGUCUGUCAAGUCGGAUGUGAAAUCCCCGGGCUCAACCUGGGAACUGCAUUCGAAACUGGCAGGCUAGAGUCUUGUAGAGGGGGUAGAAUUCCGAGGGUGUAGCGGUGAAAUGCGUAGAGAUCUGGAGGAAUACCGGUGGCGAAGGCGGCCCCACUGGACAAAGACUGACGCUCAGGUGCGAAAGCGUGGGGAGCAAACAGGAUUAGAUACCCUGGUAGUCCACGCCGUAAACGAUGUCGAUUUGGAGGUUGUGCCCUUGAGGCGUGGCUUCCGGAGCUAACGCGUUAAAUCGACCGCACUGGGGAGUACGGCCGCAAGGUUAAAACUCAAAUGAAUUGACGGGGGCCCGCACAAGCGGUGGAGCAUGUGGUUUAAUUCGAUGCAACGCGAAGAACCUUACCUGGUCUUGACAUCCACAGAACUUUCCAUGAGAUGGUCUUUGGUGCCUUCGGGAACUGUGAGACAGGUGCUGCAUGGCUGUCGUCAGCUCGUGUUGUGAAAUGUUGGGUUAAGUCCCGCAACGAGCGCAACCCUUAUCCUUUGUUGCCAGCGGUCCGGCCGGGAACUCAAAGGAGACUGCCAGUGAUAAACUGGAGGAAGGUGGGGAUGACGUCAAGUCAUCAUGGCCCUUACGACCAGGGCUACACACGUGCUACAAUGGCAUAUACAAAGAGAAGCGACCUCGCGAGAGCAAGCGGACCUCAUAAAGUAUGUCGUAGUCCGGAUUGAGUCUGCAACUCGACUCCAUGAAGUCGGAAUCGCUAGUAAUCGUAGAUCAGAAUGCUACGGUGAAUACGUUCCCGGGCCUUGUACACACCGCCCGUCACACCAUGGGAGUGGGUUGCAAAAGAAGUAGGUAGCUUAACCUUCGGGAGGGCGCUUACCACUUUGUGAUUCAUGACUGGGGUGAAGUCGUAACAAGGUAACCGUAGGGGAACCUGCGGUUGGAUCACCUCCUUA
rnacentral:rRNA from 1 species